AUCUGGGGACCCUUCACCUGCCUCUACUACUGCAAAUGAUUGGAUAUUCGUCUGCCUUGGCUCUUCCCUAAUGUGUGGAACUAAUUUUGUUCACUCUGUUUCAUGCUGGACCUGGCCUGAAAAUGGGCCCUUACAUUGUCUUUGCACUUUCCAACUUGCCAAGGUCUUCUGCAAGAGAGAUCUAAGAACCAGCCCUCAAAGAUGUUUCUGAAAGAAGGACCAAAGUAAUGCCAAGAACUCCCAGAUGAAGAGGACCUUCCUUAGACCUAUAACAGAUUCACUACUUGACUUCAGAGGGACGUUUCAGCUAAUUCUCAGGAAAAGGUCAAAACAGGCCUGUGACUGUCCCUCGAAUACUGAAGACCCUCCCAGAGACCAAUGCCGGAGAGACCCGGAUCCGAGCUCCCUUUAUAUGGCCUCCCCCAUCACGGAACCCGUGGGAAAACCUGGCACACAAUGGCGCGGCUGCUCCGGGCACCCUCAAGCCAGCGCCCUGCGGCAAGGCCUGGAGCAGCCUCGUGGUCUUGAGCGGGAACCCAGCCGAGUGUGUACCGCCGGCAGUGGCGGGGGAGGAGGCGACUGUGUGUGCAUACCUCAGUCGGAGAGGGGGUGGCGCUGGGAAAUAAAGGUUUGCAACCUCAGGCAGUUGGGCCCUUCAGAGGGCGUUUGGUUGUGUUCAGACUCGGGUGCUUUCUAA
rnacentral:lncRNA from 1 species